UACGAAGGGGGCUAGCGUUGCUCGGAAUCACUGGGCGUAAAGGGCGCGUAGGCGGAUCUUUAAGUCGGGGGUGAAAGCCCGGGGCUCAACCCUGGAAUGGCCUUCGAUACUGGAGAUCUUGAGACCGGAAGAGGUAAGUGGAACUGCGAGUGUAGAGGUGAAAUUCGUAGAUAUUCGCAAGAACACCAGUGGCGAAGGCGGCUUACUGGUCCGGUUCUGACGCUGAGGCGCGAAAGCGUGGGGAGCAAACAGG
rnacentral:rRNA from 1 species